rnacentral:misc_RNA from 1 species
UGCACGAAAUACAACUUGUCAUGUCUACUGUUUUAAUAAAAUUGUUUUGGUUUUAUUCGCUUGAGAUUAGCAGCCCUUGAUACUCUUUUCAGAAUAAUCUCAACUCCCGGAAUGUCGGUUCAGAGAAUUCUACGUGCUAAUUUUUCGAGGAUGAACUGUGAUGCGUUUUAUGUUUGCGCUUAAACUUUAAAAAAUGACCGUCUAAUUAUGAGGUUAAGUGCGCUUUGGUCAUUCGAUGACAUGUAUCGUGUAGUUUGAAAUUGUGGAAUAAAUUCUUGGGGUAUCGUGUAUGAGUUUUGUGUCUUUAUUAAAUCCUUUUAUUGCAUCGACUUCUGCAAGUUUAUUUCAGGAAGUGCUGUAGCUUUAUUUGCAUCUUUUUGUGUUACUCUGUAUAUUGAUACUAAUUGACUGGUUGCUAGGAGACCUGUAUAGAGAUAAACAUAUCCUGUGGUUCGAUAUCGUAGAGGGGUUGAUAUAAUUAAAGUAAGGUUUUUCUAUAUUUGCCGUGUUUUCAAAAUGGUUAGAAGAGAAAAAGAUUCAGUUAAAAUGCACACAACAUAUUACUUGAAGCCUGGACAAACGUUGAAAAAUACUAAAGCAUCGGAGAGGGCUCUCGCCCUGGUUAUUAAUAAAAGAGCGUUCCAGCAAUUUGUAGAUCAUGUUACAGAGGAUGAACGGAAUGCCGAAAUUGCAAAAAGGGAAGCGGAAAAAUUACAAGAGUUCAAGAAAGCGACGUACGAAAUGUCCAAAACCUGGGACAACACGAUAGAGAAUAUUCAACGGAGGAGAAAAGAUGAACUACUAACCAAACGGAAACGAGAAGAGGCUGAGAGAAUGCAAUUCGCAAAGAAAAUGGCUGCAAAGAAAGCGGCUGAAAGAACUGAAAUAGUCAAAGAAGCGAAGAAAUUACUCUUGUACAGAAAACCGCAGUGUAGAGCUAUCAAUCAAGCCCUUUUAGCUUCCGAGGCAAGUAUAGCCAAAAUUAAUUCAAGCUUUGAAACAGUGGAAAAUAUUUGGUUCUUUCAGUGUUUCAGAGAACUCGAAGCUCAGAUUGCAUUUAAAAAGACUCUAGAAGGAAUUGAUAGAGAAAGAGAUAAAGAAUAUGUAAAUUUAAUGAGAAAGGAUGUAGAGAAUUAUAAAGAAGAAGAGAAAAAAAAGGCCGAGGAAGUGCUAAAAAAAAAUCGAACACAUGGCAUACAACUGAAAAGACAGAUUGAAAUAUUGGGAAGUGACUUAAAAAGGAUGGAAGCAGCGGAAUACGAAGCUCAGAAGCGAGAUUUAAAGAUCAUGGAAAAUGAACUGAACCUCAUAAAACAAUGCGAAGCAGACGAAGCUGAUAAGAAAAAGAAGAUGACGAAUCAAAUGCUCUUAGAGGCUAUAGAACAGAAAAAAGCCUAUGAAUCGGAAGACAAACGAGCCGAGGAAUUUCAGACUAAAGCACUGGAAGUGUAUCUAAGAUCCAAGAAACGAAUUCAACAGAUGCACAAAUCGCUCAUGAAGGAAGAACAAGAAGAACGAAUCCGUCGUGCCGAGAAUAUUGUGAAGAAAUUGGCUGAGCGGAUGAAAACGGCACAGGCUUCUGAGGAAGAAAAGAUUCAAAAAGUGGCAGAAGAAAAGGAAGCACUGGAACGACAGAAGCUCGAAGAGCAGAAAAGAUACGACGAGAAGUUGAGAGCUGAAUUACUGGAAUUCAGGAAGCAGGCAGAACGGGAGAGACGUAAACGAGAGCAGGAAGAAAAGCAGCUAAAGGACUGGGAGACUUUACAGCGGUACAAAAGAGACGAGUACAAUAAACGAGUGCAGCAGGAAGAGAAGAAGAGACAAUGGGACAAGAAAAUGCAGACUGCCAGAACCUUCCAGCAACAAGUCAUGGAAAAGGAGGCAGAGCGACGACAUGAGGAGAUGUUGAACGACGACUCAGCUGUUAUUAAAAAAAUGAUUCAGAGCACCAACGAUAGAGUUUUGGCAUACGGUCAAGAAGUCAUCGAAGAGUCGAGAGGCGUGAGGCCUCUCUUCCCGAUUUUAAAAGUCAUCGAAGGAUUCAAAAAAGAAAUUGGAAUGCUACCAAUGAAACAACACGUGGAAUUGGCUUCGGAAGCACAACCGAAACUAAGGAGGUCGCGGAAACCUCAAACAAUUUGUAGUAACCCUAUACCCGAGCACCAAAUACAUUAUUUAUAAACCUUCGUCUUUUAUUAACUCAACAUUCUACGACUGUGAUUUUAUUUGGGAAGAGGAAUUUAUAAUGGAAGGUGGACUGCUAUUUUGACUGCAACUUUGAAGGCUUAAUUUGCUUGACGUAUAUUAUGCUGGUACCAUGUAUCUGAAUAAAUGAUAGACUGAAAUCAACAAUACCAUAUUGUUUAACAUCUGGGAUUACCAUAUUGUAAAGCCAAGGAGAGACUGAAACGUAAAGAAAUGUUGAACCGCCUGAAACGAUACGGAGGUCGUUCAAGUGAA